CUUGAUACAAAGUAAUUGGCUAGUAUGUGACCUGUAUGAAUUAUAGAUUAAUAUGUUUGUUUCAGUUUGAUACGAAGUAAGACAAUUCAAUUGAUUUUACUACUAUUUUAAGCCCCUUCUUAAAACAUUUAGACAACCUUAAGACCACUUAUACGGGUAACACUUCAUUAUUUCUAAUUCAACUUCCUUGUUUCUUUCUCCAUGCAAUACUGGGAAAUUCACAGCUGGUGUAGUUUCUCUUUAGCGGUUUCUCUUCUGGAAUGCACCUGUUGAUAAUAUAAAGUUGUACCUGUUGCUUAUUAGAUACAGGAUGGUUUUUCUAAGGUAUGCAGACGCGCAUAGAUCGUGCGGGAUAUGCCUGAACCUACAACACAUAGAUUUGUCAACAACUUCAUUUGACGCUGCUUGUGGUAUUAUGAAAGGUCAUAUCAAUAAUAUACUCCAAGAACUGAAUUCAAAAAAGGAAAUAGAAACAUUUACUUUUGGAAAGACAUAUACAACGUCAAAAAAAUAUUUCUAUUUUCCCGUUAAUAACACAAACUCUUGGAAUCUAUCCGGAAUUCGCUCAGCUUGGAAAAGAUUCAAAGCUCUAGGAUUCCACAACCUGGUUGUGGUGUCUGUUGUAGAUGAACAUCAGAUACCACUAUACAACAUGCUCUGGCGAAACAACGACACUGAGGACUUUACGGUUGCCUUGAAACAGAACUUAAUCCACUUUUACAAAAUCACCAAAAAGGACCGCAGACUUGGAAAUGUAAACUGCAGGGAGGGAGCAAGGAAAGAUAACUCGUAUCGUGGUGUGUUGUACAUGGCUAUCAGAUACACAGAACCCGAAGAUGACGACGAUUGUCAGUGGUUGUUCUACUGGGUGAUUGCCUUAAUCUUCUGGCCUCUGUAUGUCGUGUACAUAUUGUAUAAGUUGCAACAACCUAGUCGACGAAGAAAAAAACGUUAACAUAAACCCUACGACUGUUAUCUUAAAUGUAGAGGUUCAUCGAAACAAUUAACGAUGUACGGACUUUCAGAUAUGAUGCCAUGAAAAUAGUGGGUUUGAAAAACAAAUUACUUUGUAUAUGAAAACUUCCAGCAACUAACCAAUUAGCUGCAGAAUUGUAACUCUCUGGGAUUAGAUCGGGAGAUAUAAAAAAACCCACAAAUUUACACCCGUUAUAACACCUCUAUUGCUAAAUAGCAACAUAUUUACUCGGUAUAAAACUUCUAUAAAUCGAUAAACAGCCACAGAUUUACCCGUUAUAACACCUCUGUUGACAGACAGCCACAAAUUUACCCGGUAUAACACCUCUAUUGAUAAACAGCAACAUAUUUACUCGGUAUAACACUUCUAUUGAUAAACAGCCACAGAUUUACCCGGUAUAACACCUCUAUUGACAAACAACCACAUUAUUUACCCGGUAUAACACUUCUAUUUACAGACAACUAGAAAUCUACUUGUUAUAAAACUUCGAUUUACGGUGUAUCUUUCCUGCACAGAAUUCAGAUAUAUUGUAUUUGCUGUGUAUUACAUAAGUGAAAGUUUAUUGUAUGUAUUCAUGUCUUUAUUGUAUUUACUCAUGUUUUUCUUGUAUGUAUUCAUGUUUUUAUUGUUUUUUAUUGUAUGUAUUCAUGUUUUAUUGUAUGUAUUCAUGUUUUUAUUACCUUCAAGAGACCCCGUUCCUCGGAUGAUAAAAGUUUUCCCCUUUAUUGUGCGGUUUUAUGUAGUAUAUGUUAUUAUGAAAACGAAUCGAACCUUACUGAACAGUUAUGUAGGACAAACAAGAAUCCCCUGGACAUACCGGGGGUGGAAUCAGUUGGCUAGGAGCACAGGCUAUUAUAUUGCUUGGGUUCGAAUUUACUAUUAAAGAGCAAAGGUAUAGAACUUUUAAUAAAGGGUACCAAAGUUCGCCGAAGUAAAAACAUUAAACCAAAUGAUGUAAAAUUCUACUCUGUAUUCUAACACAUUCAUACAUAAUCAAUCUACAUUACUACCAAAGUUCAUCCCGAAAUUCCGUAUACUUUCCAAGAUAUGUUGAAAUGAAUUCGGAAAAAUGCGUAUUAUUUCUUGGUCGAAUUUCAGCUGGGCCCUGGCACUAUAAGACUAAACAGAAUAUUUGAGCAUUUCAACAAGCCAUUACAUAGAAUGUGCAGCAUUAGAUAUCUUACCUCAAUUCAAAACCGGAAGUCCGUUAUAGCUCCAAGUGACUGAAAAUUCUAAAACCGUCAAUACCUUCACUUAUCACAGCCAUUUUUACAGGUGCAACUAAUUACCCGAAAAGGAUUAAAGGGCCCAUGACGAUUUAGAGUCUCAAAUACUAAUUCUUAUCAAUAUGAAUUCAUCAUAGUACAUAAUUAUGCAAAUAACAAGUUCUUAUAAAGAUUCAAAUGUCUUAUUAUGUCUAUUUUUAUUCAAACCACAGUAACCCCUUAUAUGGUAGACAAAUCAGUGCAUAUAUCAUAUAAUCACUGCAUUUUCUCUGUAGUUUUUGGUCUUACUUACCUAUAAUAAAGUAUAUAUUUCCUGAAAAUUGAGAUUGUUAACUUUCUGAAAAGGACAUUCUAAAAGUGUUCUUGUUGCUAUGGCAACAAGAACUGAGUAAUACUGUAGAAAUUCAAUUCCAAGAGCUGUUUGACGAUUUAAAAUAAUGAUGUUAAUUUGGGUAGUCAAAAUAGUUGUUAUAAGUAAAGUGCAGAUGGUUUUACAAUUUUAAUCAAUCAGGACUAUUUGAGACUUUCAAUUACAAACUGAGGUAAGAAAUGCAUCUUAAAACUGCCAUAGGAUGAUGUCUAUAUUGUGUAAUCGUGCGGUACAGCCCAGACACACUCUGUUUACUCUUGUAAGUCACCGGGCCCAGCUAAAUCUCGACCUCGCGAAACCCGCUGGAUUUUUAGAAUUAAUUUCUGCUUAUCUUUGGUAGUAUAUGGAAUUUCGGGAUGAAAUUUGGCAGUUAUAUAUAAAAAAAAAAAGUACAUACCAAUAUAAGUAUCAUCAACACCAUCUUUAUUUUUUUACGGUAAAAUAAGGUAUACUGUGAAAAGAGUUCUAUACCUGUACUCUUCUAUAAUAGUAAUUGGGUCCCCAAGCGAAAUAAGCGCCUGUGUCUAGGAGGAGUAAACACCCCUUGUUGAGGUUCUGUUUUUGUUUCUGCCUCCUAAGUACGUUACUGAAAGUAGUCCUGUUUUCAAAUUAUAAGUAUGUUACUGAAUGUAGUACUGUUUUCAAAUUAUAAGUACGUUACUGAAUGUAGUCCUGUUUUCAAAUUAUAAGUACAUUACUGAAAGUAGUCCUGUUUUUAAAUUAUAAGUACGUUACUGAAAGUAGUCCUGUUUUCAAAUUAUAAGUACGUUACUGAAUGUAGUCCUGUUUUCAAAUUAUAAGUACGUUACUGAAUGUAGUCCUGUUUUCAAAUUAUAAGUAUGUUACUGAAUGUAGUACUGUUUUCAAAUUAUAAGUACGUUACUGAAUGUAGUCCUGUUUUCAAAUUAUAAGUACAUUACUGAAAGUAGUCCUGUUUUUAAAUUAUAAGUACGUUACUGAAAGUAGUCCUGUUUUCAAAUUAUAAGUACGUUACUGAAUGUAGUCCUGUUUUCAAAUUAUAAGUACGUUACUGAAUAUAGUUCUGUUUUCAAAUUAUAAGUACGAAUUGUGGUUCUGUUUUCAAAUUAUUAUUAUCACGUCACUGAAUGGAGUUCUGUUUUCAAAUCAUAAAUACGUUACUGUCUUCGAAUCUUAAGUAUGUAACUACAUAUAGAUGCACUAUGAUGUAAUUAUUUAUUCGCAUCAUAAAUCAUGGUAUUUGUAACAAUCUGUUUCUAACAAUCAGUUUCUAAGAUAUAAAGUCUCUGAUAUAUAAACAAAUUUCUUUUGUAAAUACAAUAUUUAGAGGAUUCAGUAAACAAGAUACAGGAUAAUCA